GCACCUGAAGGAGGGAAGAAGAGAACAACCCUGGACUAUAAAUACACCAGCCUCAGAGCUUUGCAGUCCUGCUCUUGUCUGCGCUGUGUUCAGUGAGAUGACGGAUUACAGUAUAGUGUUAUUUGUGUUGUACAAUAAAGCUUAAAAUACCAAAAAUAAUAACAGAGACAUACCUGUGUUUUUGCUCAAGCGUAUAAAUAGAGCAGCAUUUGCCAGAAUAACAUUUUAAACUUGGCAUUCUUUUAAACCAGAAGCGGAUAAUGGUUCUUUUUACUCUGCAAGCAGCUGAUUUUGCAGUUGAUUUGACACAAAAACCAGGCAUCCAGUUUGCCGGAUGGAGAUGUUUGAUGGGAAAUUUACGAAUCCAGGAUUCGUGGAAAUAAGAGACGCAGCUCAAAACUGGGGCGUGACAUCACAGCUGUGAUGUGAUUCCCUGCAACGGCUAUCUGUCAGAUCCACACGAGUCAGUCCUUUCAAUGAAAAAUCUCAGCCUGCAUCCUAUUCAGAGACGGAGUGGGAGGAGAGCAGACAGACAAAGAGGAAAGACCCGAGCCAACGCGUCAAUAGCUCACUGCCUACAAUGGUAGUUAAAGCGAGGAAACACUCAUCCAAUCCGCUUGGCCCUUUCUCGUGAGUGACUCAUCUUGAAUAUCGUAACGCCUUCUCUCAUCUAGACUAUAAAAGAAAUAAGAGAGAGAGAAGCGCUGAACGUUAGAAGUUGUAUUAAAAGCUAUGAUGUAUGACAGCUUUUAUUUCCCCUUUUAUUUUCUCUCCUCUCUGUAUCGCCUGAUCGAAUGCAGGCCGGAGCAUUUUUCACACAUUCCGGGUUAGUCAAACACGUUUGAGCAUCAUCCUGGCAGCUGAGCUUGAGGCAACGACAAUCCACGAACCCGCAGGUAUUCAAAAGCCGGCGAUGAGUGCGGGCCAUCUGGCAAAAAACUCCAUGCCUUCUGCUUCAGUGAUGGCUUGUGAUUGCCUCAAGAUCACCGAUUGUUCUCUGCAGAGCUGGUCGAUGGCAUCUGAAAGUGUCAGACAGAAGUGUGUGUCAAAUUUAGGACAACAUGAAAAUAAAAACUAGAAUAAAAUGUAAUCAGUAAGCUGUAUGAGCAAAUCCCUAAAUGAGGAUUGUUUGCUAAUUGUGCUGUUGUCACAAUGAUGACGAAAAAUCUCAGUAAUACUUUGACACAAAGCUUCACUUUAACGCGUCUCUACUGAGCUGUUUGAAUCCUAACUUGUGCCGGAAGGUGCAAUCAGUAAUCAGUGAAGCAUUUUAUCCGUUCUUUACACAAAUUGACCAUAAUUUAUGAGCAUGUGAGUGUUGCUCAUCAGGUUUAAUCAAAUGUUGAGUUUCUUCUGAGAAUUCCGGCUCGGCAGACUCUUUGGUUUUAAUGAGAUCUUUUCACGUGGAUGGAAUUCAGACUUCUUGCACAGUAUUAAAUCUUUUGUCAGCGUAUGUGAACAGAUACAGAUGUUAUUAGUUUGAUAUUAUGGUAGUUGGACAUUCUUUAUGGAAUUACAACACCAACGCCAUUUGUCAAUCACCUACAUAUUACCAGAACUGCAUUUUCUGUUAUUUUAUAUAAAAAAACAAAAAAAACAUAAUUUAAGUACUUAUGUUUGUUCAAAAUCAAAUACUUAUAUAAAAAAAACAAAAAAAGUAUUCCCUUCCUCAGUGUCACUGCCUAACUUAAAUGGUAAGUCAAGUUUUAUUAGUAAAUACUUGAAGGACACCCUCUAAUUAACAGAAAAAAAUGUGCACAUUCAUUUUUUUCAAUUGAUUUUAGCACCCUUGCAAAUCAAUCGCACUGUAAAACAUUAACACAAUUCCACAUCCACAUUCAUGCACAAAAUAGUGUUCUUUUGUAUUAUUGAUUAUCUGCUGUCCUUGCAAACCUCACUUCCUAAUGGUUGUGUCGAGCAGCAGGUGAGGAAGAAUCGAGCAAAAGAUAUUCCUCUCUUCAUCUAAUUGAAUCUCACCUUUCACUAGAAACCUGUGGCUGUCAGCCCAAGGUUGAGGCAGUGUUGAUGUUGCCCCCUCUGCUCGCUCUCACUCCCUACAUUUCCUCCCUAUGAAUUAUUCACGUGCACUGUCACAGCUGAAAAGAGGCCAGCGUGGGAGGAGAUAAACCCAACCUCUUAGAUCAAGCUCCUGUUUAAAAAGCGUUCCUCACAAAAGCACUUUCGUCCACGGCGAUUCCGCUUUCAUUGGGUGUAUUUUGUGUUUUAUUAUCAUAUUUGAAAUGCAGCUGUGAAUGACACGCUGCCCGGUUACGCCCACACUAGUCAUGACUUCUCUAAAAAUCUUCCAUCAAUUUCUCCAUCAUGUCACUGCUCCUCCAACUGUAGCCAACACGAUGGACCUAAUUCCCUCGCUCGUUUUCCCCACCUACCAUGGAGACAGCCAUUCGACUGAAUUGAUUUUUCCACAUUGCCUUGUAGGGAAGAGACCUUCUAAAAAGAGUAGAAUACUUAAACUGGAAAUGUUGAUUGCAUAAAAUACAUAUUGGAUUCAGCAACGCAGCUCAGAGGUGGGCAACCGAAGCAUCCAGUUUCUUUCUUGAAAAAAAAGCCUUUAAAAUAAAUUGCAAAUCUAAACCACAAACUGCACUAAAUUGAAAGGAACUGACAGAAAGAGAGAGAGAGAGAGAGAGACGGAUUUACGCUAACAGCAAAAGUACUUACUGACCUUGCGCUUCUUAUUCUGCUUUUAUCACUUUCUGCCGCUCCCUCUCUCUGGUUUUCUUUCACUAACGAUUUCUUUCCCCUCUGCUGAAAAUGGAAGAAGUGCAGGAAAAUGGCUUGAUGAAUAGAUCGAGGCUGAAAGGGAGGUGAGAAGGUACAGGAAGAAGUUGUUGUUCCAUAACGCCACAGAGACGGGAGGAUUUUGAUGAAAAAAUGAGGAAAAGGAGGCGAUGGAACAGGAGACCGGGCGGCAGAAAGGAUUCAGAAGGAUUGUUGAUGGAAGAAAGUUUGCUUAGUGGAGCGUGAUUAGACCCUUCAAACUGCAGACACAAGAAUUCCACAGUCAAGGGCAACAGUGCAGAGGGCUUCUCCUCGCUGUGGGACGCCGUGGGACACCGUGGGACGUGAAUACAGAACUAACCCUCUGCUUGUAAAAAUGCUUGUUACAUUUUCAUAAGCAUUCAUGAGAUGUUGCAGACUGGAAUUCAAUCAGGGCCCCUGAGAGGACGACAAAACAUGACCGUCAACAUGUUUUCGCAAAAAAAGCUUUUGCUACUUACAGUGAGCCAAAGGCAACACAUUAGUAAAAUAGUUCUAACACUAACAUAACUAACACUAAUAGUGCUAGCGCUAACUAACACUAACAUGUUUCCAGAAAAGCACAAUAAAAAAUAAAUCUAUAAACAUCUGUUUUCACAUCAUCUGGCUGUCUACAAUAGGGUUAUGUGUCUAAAGGCUAAAGUCUAAAGGCUUUUUAUUAUAUUCAAUCGGUAUCAUGCAGAGCAAUGCCGUCCUCACGAGGACCACUACGUAGGUGCGUUUGAGUUCAGGUGAUUAGAUAAAUGUACUAAACCAAAUAACUUAGUAAGAAGUAAGAAUGUUGCUUGCGUUCUCAGCACACGUGCAUCCUUCAGGUGUGAGCUUGUUUCUGUGUGUAAUCAUGUUCUCAUCACAGCAAGUGGCGCCUAUCUUUAGCAAAGCGUCCCACUGAGUGGCCUUUGAAUACUUCUUUAGCACUGGCACGGCAAAGCAGAAUAACCCGGGAAGAAGUUGUUUUUGUGUGUUGUGGACAAAUUAAGCGACACGGCAUGAAAAACUAAAUGUCUUGUUUGUUGUCAACUUGCUUUUACAUUUAAUUUUAGAUCAUGUAUUCAAACACCACUUGUAGCAUUGAGGUUAAUGAGGAAAUCACAUUUCUAAAGCGUUCCGGGUUACUUGAAUUAGUACCAGAAUGAAAAGAAGAACACAAAGUACAUCACAGCCGCAGCACACUGAACCCCCAUACUGACUUCAAUCAGUUCUACAUUAAUAUAUACGAUUAACUUGAUUUCAUUGUCUCUAUACGAUAGGCUUCACGCCAAAGUAGAAAAUGAUAAUGAUCAGAGUGUCGCUUCCUUUGGCACGUCGACGUGUUAGGACUUAAAUGAAAAGACUGGUUGAUUGACACGUAACUUCAUUAUCAUCCCCGUCGAGUUGAAAUCAUCUUGUCGCAAAGAAACACCCAGAUUUAUAGUGCUGCGUCAACUGCAAUAUCUCUAUACAGAGAGAUAAUAGUAAAGGUGUGAAAAACAAAAGGAAGAUUUUUUGUUUUUUCCUGAUAGCUGUGUGAAUAUACCUUUAUUCCCCAUUUGUCUAAAACCCUUUGUUUUUAAGUGCAUAUUUUGUCUGUAGGCUCAAAUUUGUGCACACAAGCGCUGAAGAGUUGUCAUGAUGUCUCCUUUAAAUCACAGUGAAAUAAAAAUAGAGGUAAUACAAACUCAUUUAAAGAAACACUGCAAAUUAGCCAAUAGAACGUUGCCUCGGUUCGGUGGCUACAGCGUGAUGAACGCCAUGCAGUGUGUUCUCAUGUACAGAUUGCAUUUACACAAACUGUCGCCUCAGGGCAGAAAUUACACACAUAGAACUCACACCCAAAAUAGACCAGAGAUCAGAUUUUAUUCUUUCCAAAGGAAAAAAAUCCAGCUCUCAACUCAAACAAGAAUCUGUCAAACAAUACAUUGUAAAAGCGCACUGCUUUUCUCCAUUAUUUACAAGUGUGUAUGAAAUUAGGGAAACUUCGAUAAUGGGCAAACAGAAGAGAAAAGAAAGAGCAAAACAGACUGUGAUUAGGUGCAGACCUGAGGAAAAGGAGAGACAUUAUCAAUAUGUCAUCUACCAUUGAGAGACAAAUCACAGGUAAUGUUGUAUUGAGUUUCACAUUUUGCGGCUCAUUUGAUGCACUUCAUUGGUCACAAUCAAGUUAUUUAGACUCAAUGCAGGUUUACUCAACGCCCUGUAAAUAGAUUCCACCACAACGUAACUGUGUUGAAAGUUGUGUAGUUUUGUGUUUAAAAUAACAUUUAAACAACUGUGUCUAAAAUACACACUUUCUAAAGUAAUUACUCAUUACUUACAACAUCGUAACAGUGACGCAGAAUGAAGGUUGCUUAGAAACGUUAAUUAGAUCAUUUCCAAAUACAGCUUCUCAUAUGUGUUCAGCUUCAAUGCUGCUGGGAAUGAAUUGUUGCUUUUAAAAUCAUAUUUUUCCAGUUGGAAGAUGAUCGGAACAUCUCAAGACUUGUUCAAUGAACCUUUACAUACUGUACAUACUCUAAUACUAAUACUCUAACACUAAUAUGUUACUGCCAAACGUAAGUAAUGGGUUUAAAUGCAAUGCAGAAAUAAAAAAUGUAGUUGUCUGAAGCUGCAUUUAAGUAUUUGUUGUCAAUGCUUUGUUCACGUGGCACAAUAAUGUAAUGUUAUGACUUUGUUUGAGGCUUUUAACUAACUAAUAACUAACAGUUAUUCACGUAUAUGCGUGAUGGCCUGUCUUUAAAUCAGCAUAUGCAUUUCUGGCAGCCUUUUAAGUUCUCCAUUUUGACACCACAUGGAUGUUCUCUGCAGACCAAGACGAACAGCUAACAAGAUAAUCUGUGAGAGUCCUCAGGUGAUGGCGAUUCUUCCAAGCAGUAGAAAGGAUUGCAAGAUAACUGUAGCUUAUUGCAGAAUCCAAAGGGCAUUUUGACUACUGCUGUUCCCUCCACUUUACUCACUGAUAUAAAAACAUGACGGAAAUUUAUUGCAACGGAAACUGCAAUUGCAUGCAAACAUAGAGAUCCUUAAGUUUAAAUAACAGCUCCUUGUUCAGGCACACAACACCACGAUGCCCUGUUCUUCAUCACAUAGCUCUGGUGAUCUACGUUGAAUAGAUGGUACAUCUGCUUUGUACAUCAGUAUUUACACAGCUUCCCUGGAGGGUUUGGGGUUUUAAGCUGACACCAGCGCCUCUUCACUUAGAGAGAUAACAUGCCGCUGCCUUCCUAAAGAUAAAGACCGGCCGGCUUCCACUUGGUAACGUCCUUGCUUGAAGCCUUGAUGCAUGACUUGUACGUGUUUCAACUCUGCUUCUACUUGCAAGUAUUUGAGGAAAUGUCCUGUUUAAUGAUUUUACAACCGGUGUCGAGUAAAAAAUAAAAAUAAAAAAUAGGCCCUUUGAGCCGGAUUUUUCUAGCACCACACAUUUAGCAUUUGAAUUGCCAAGUACACGCUGGGACAGGAUUCAAUAAGGCAUCAAUAACUGAUGCAGCAGGGUGGGUGCAGGUACAUGGAUGUUGAACCACCUGCAGGAGCUUCCACAGCAAAUAGAGGAGGAGUCUGCAGCUGAAAAAAAGGGAGCGGAUCUCAAUCCAACCAUCUGAAAGAAAAGUCCCCAACUCCACAUGGGGGAAGAAGAAGAGAACUGCACAGCGCGAAUCAAGCAGGAGUAUAACAACGGGGCUGCAAGGUAUGAGUCAGAAAAACAACAAGUCUCUGACCAAAAUGCGUUGAAAGUAAAGUGCAGAUGAGCUACAGAUCGAGCACCGGAAUCGAAAACCAACGAAGAUGCCAAACUCCUCCACAGCGAGGCUGGAAACAAAGAGGGGCAGAAAGGAGCCAAACAGGAGGAGGACAUGAAGAACGACCUGUGGGGGACAUGUGUCUUCAAAUAAAGAAGAAAAGGAGGGGCUCGUGGUUUCCCAGAGCGUUAGUGCAAUCCUAAAGAACUGCAUGAGAAGGCGAUGAAGAGAAAAAAAAGAAAAUCCGGAGAAGACCGAGAUAAGUGAUGUGUUAUUGACAGAAAACCGGAGGUGGCUGCCGGCUGGUAAUCUCCACCCUCCCUCCACCCCCACCCUCUGAGAAACAACUGACUUCUCAUGUAAUGAAAUGUUUGAGGAAUAGUCUAAAUAACAUGAGUAUUAUUUAACCAGAGCAAAAUGUGUGAAAAAGUUUUUGUUUCAAAACUCAUUAAAUAAUAAAUCAAGUGACUAUGGUAUAAGCACAUUUAUUUAUACAUUACAAUUUGAAGAUAAGUGAAAAGCUACUGUGAAAAAGAGAACAUCAUAUAUCAAAUAAAGAUACUGUGAAUGCGAUAAUAGCUUCACUUCAGGUUUAAGAUAAUACUUAAAAAUACUAAAAGAAGUACUUGCCUUACUGAUGCAGUUGUGUACUUUUGCCAUAAGGCCGUAAACUGCCUCUGAAAAAGGACCUUACAUCCUGCAAGUGGAAUUUCUGCUGCAGACUAAUUCAUCCGCUCAGUACUGGUUCUGCAUGUUUGGGGGUUGUAACCGGAAUGCAGAGUGGAAGACAAUUCACCUCUUAAUUUCUCUCAACAGGUCCGUGAGUGACAGCAGUCAACUGGCCUCUCCAGACACCCACCUACAAAAAAGAAUUGAUUUUCCCAACGUUUGUCGCGUGUCCGUUGCGCUCACUGUUCCCAGCUGAAAGAGAAACCUGCCGAGUAUUUGCAGAUACUCUACCGAGGCUCCUUCUGUUAAGACCCUGUCGAGGAGGGAAGGCCGGCAGCCUCCGUGCGGCUUCCAGACGCUCAGGGCCGUGGUCCAACCCAGGUGAACCCGCUUGCCCGUUUAACAGCGCUUUUUCUGGUUCAAACAUCAAAGCUCCCAAUCCAGCAGAGAGCUUUCAUCGUCCAGUCGGAGAGGCUUGAGUGCGGCGAUGCAAACCUUUUAAUCCUUUGAACUUAUGCAGUUCACUGGGUUCACCUGCCGACCCGGUGGAUAUUUGCCGUCGUUCCAAUGGCUUCGGCUUCCAAUGCAUGUCAAGUUGUAAAAAAAUCAAUGAGACAUCAGCCAUCAUUUGCAUCUUUGUUCUUGUUGUAUUUAAACUGAAAGUUGUUGAGAAUUAUUGAAUGGUUUGCAAUGCAAUUUGGUACAAACAUUUAAUGUUUUUUUAGGAAAUCAUUUUGGUUAUUCCCAUGACUAACUCUUGUUAUAAUUGGAUUCUAUAUAUUUUCUUCUACGGGGAUAUUGACCUUAUACGGGCAACUCCCACAUUUAUAUUUAUAAUUCUAAAUAUGUCUACAAUUACAUAUGAAUCGCUGAGUUCGUCAAACUGUUUCACCAUCAGCAUAGAGAGUGAAGGAAAGAGUAGAGCUGAGAGUUCUUCUUACAAAAAAAUCAGUCAACAUAACAAGAUGCAUUAAAUAUUUAAAGUUCAGCAGAUAUUCCAGGAGACCUUUGCUAUUUUUAAGACGUAUAAACCACAACAAUUUACAACACAAUCAACUGAAAGGAAAAUUGAAGCUGCCCCUCUCAAUUAAUGUCACGUUUCAACAGCUUUUUAUAGUACAGCUGUCAUAUUAUGACAUGCAAUUUCUAUAAAAUGCUGAUCAAGAUAAUUAAACACCAUCACUUUAAAUUUUUUUGAAGCCUGACGUUUUAUGCCGGGUGUCUUUUUUAUGAAUAUGAAGUUAUAAGUUGUUUUAAAUGAUUAUUAAAUAAUUGUAUUAAUGUG